CAGAGUCCAGUCCGGCUCUUAUCUCAGCACAGGGUGGUUUACCUUCAUUCUGGCCAUGGACGCCUGUUACGGCAUUCACGUCUACGGGAUGAUAAAUGACACCUACUGCAAGACAGAAGGAUAUAGAAAAGUCCCCUACCAUUACUAUGAACAAGGAAGAGAUGAGUGUGAUGAAUAUUUUCUUCAUGAGCAUGCCCCAUAUGGGGGGCAUAGGUUUAUCACUGAAAAGAAAGUGUUUGCUAAAUGGGCCACAAAACACAGGAUAAUAUUUACACACCCAAACUGGACAGUGUCUUGAUGUUGGUUUUUAAGGUCUUGCCACAACACUUGACAUGAUCAUGGUACAUGAAACCACAACUGUGAUGCUGACGCCGUUAACAAUGAUGACGGCGAUGAUACAGACAACAACGAUGCUGAUCAAGUUCCUGUACAUUCUCAGAUAUGGAUGAUGACUCUGCUAGUAAUUUAAACUUGGGAUUUCGUGGAGGGUGGUUGUGCUCAUUAUGUUAUUUCUGAAGGUUCAACACUAUAUACUGCACUUUAUAAUUUAACUGGAAUUGAAAUGAAGGCCAGUGACAUGAUAACUGUGACCUAAGAAAUGGGAAGAUUUUCCUUCAAGAUAGCUGCCCAGAAUUAUUAAACAGUGAGUAACCCCCAAAAGCCAUGGGAUUUGGCCUCAUGAGGCAAGGUUAUUGACUCAGUGGCUUUCUGAACCUGAGCAGCUCUAACAUCUUGAAGAAUGGUUGAUUGUCAAACACUGACCCUAGAAAUGCUAUCAGGGUGCAAGUAUCUUACCACAGUUAGUAGUUAGCCUGGAGAAGGGAAGGUGUCUCUUCCUGAUAUACCAUCUUCCCUCAGUACUUCCUACAGCUAAAGCCUCAGGCCAUCACCUAAUUAACAAUGAAGAUAUCACGGACAUCCUACACAUCAGGAUUACUUGACUAUCUCAAACACUUAAUUAAAAAUGGGCCAACUUAGCAAAUCUUGAUGAAUUUCCACUCUUACCAUCCAUCCAUUCUUACUUCCCAAAACAGUAUAACUAAACAUGUUAUUAGAAUGAUCUAUAUUAAUGUUUAGUUAUUUUUGGUUGAUUCCUAAAUCUUUCAAAAGGCUAUUUAACAUGUAAGAUACCAACUUAAACACUGUAAUAACAUAUACUGUGAAAACAUUCCUAAAACAUAACCAAAGGGUUUACUAACUCUGCUUCAACAUCCAAUAAGACAAACAUAUAUGCUUUUUAAAAUCAUGAAACAGGGAAAGCAAAGCAUAUUUUUACAUCAAUUUGUAUCCUAUCAUACUUCAUAAUAUAUAUUUGUAUAUUCAAAUUUCUAUUUUAUAGGCCCAAGAUGUGUCUCUCCAUACAUUACAUUAUCAUUGCCAAGUGCCAACUGUUAGACAUGGAGAGAAAAUGAUUCCUUGUAUUAAAUCUGACCAGAGCUUUUGCCUUCUAGGGGUUUAAUUUCCCCAUAGUGUAUCAGUUGUUAUACCAUAAUAACAACAACAAUGAUGACCUUAACGUCCAAAGUGCUUUGUCAUUUAGAGUCUUUUCACAUCUGCUAGACAACGUGAUGCCCGUGACCACCUCAUUGGGCAAAUGCCUGUGCAUUCUGCCCUCUCUUUAGCAGAUGAUCUGUAAUUUGUUAAUUGUUCUGAUAUCUUCGAGAUUGCUCUACUUGCUAAUACUUGUAUAGAAUAGCAUUUAUGUAGACUAGUAACCAACUGAUUUCAGGGCCAAACACAAUAUAUUAUAUCAGGAUUAUGUAAAAAGUAUCACAAAGAAUGAUCUUGGUCAUAUAUGAGGACCUCUGUGAACUUGAGUAGUUUUGCCUUUUUUUAAUAGUCCUAAACUAGAGGUAGAGACAGAUUGACUGUUUUUUUUUUUAAUGGUUCUAUAUAGGUGGAGAAAAGAUGAAGAAACAGGGACAACAGGAGGGAAUGAGAGCAGAGAAAUGUAGUUUCCUGUCUCAGGCUUGAGACAGCUCUGUUUUCCAUAUACUCAUUGCUCUUCAAAUAUUGGGGAGUUGACUUGCUGAGAAAGUAGCUGAGAGUUCAAAGACAUCUUUGCAGAAUGAUCCAGAAAGCAAAAGCCAGGUACAACUUACAAAAUGUUUUGGAGGCUGGAAGUAAUGAUGCAUUUUACUUUAGAAGUACUUUCUGGUCUUCACUAGUGCUAAGUAUCAUGAUGAGUUAUCACUAAAAUGUGUCAUCUAGGGUAAAAGCCUCUUUGCUGCUCUCUUCUGCCAUUUUGGCACCCCAGUACUUAUAUCCAUAAAACUUGCCAAGCCCCAGUUCUGUCCUUGGAGGGAGUUGUUAUUCUUGUUUUGUUUCCUUAUAUGAUUUUCAGUUCUAUGAAUGUUAGUUUUAUUUUUGAGCUAAUGAUGGAUAAGAAUGCCCACUUAAAGAAAAAUAGAUACAAAUGCUGAAAUGAUAAUACAGAUUGUUUUCCCCCUGUUGUGAUACAAACAUUCCACUUUUAAAUAAAAAGGAAUCCUUGAUUAAUCAGAA